rnacentral:rRNA from 1 species
CACUCCUGCGGGAGGCAGCAGUGGGGAAUAUUGCACAAUGGGCGCAAGCCUGAUGCAGCGACGCCGCGUGGGGGAUGAAGGCCUUCGGGUUGUAAACUCCUUUCGCUAGGGACGAAGCUUUUUUGUGACGGUACCUAGAUAAGAAGCACCGGCUAACUACGUGCCAGCAGCCGCGGUAAUACGUAGGGUGCGAGCGUUGUCCGGAAUUACUGGGCGUAAAGGGCUCGUAGGUGGUUUGUCGCGUCGUCUGUGAAAUUCUGGGGCUUAACUCCGGGCGUGCAGGCGAUACGGGCAUAACUUGAGUGCUGUAGGGGUAACUGGAAUUCCUGGUGUAGCGGUGAAAUGCGCAGAUAUCAGGAGGAACACCGAUGGCGAAGGCAGGUUACUGGGCAGUUACUGACGCUGAGGAGCGAAAGCAUGGGUAGCGAACAGGAUUAGAAACCCUAGUAGUCC